rnacentral:rRNA from 1 species
UGGGGAAUAUUGCACAAUGGGCGCAAGCCUGAUGCAGCCAUGCCGCGUGUAUGAAGAAGGCCUUCGGGUUGUAAAGUACUUUCAGAGGGGAGGAAGGCGAUGUGGUUAAUAACCGCGUCGAUUGACGUUACCCGCAGAAGAAGCACCGGCUAACUCCGUGCCAGCAGCCGCGGUAAUACGGAGGGUGCAAGCGUUAAUCGGAAUUACUGGGCGUAAAGCGCACGCAGGCGGUCUGUCAAGUCGGAUGUGAAAUCCCCGGGCUCAACCUGGGAACUGCAUCCGAAACUGGCAGGCUUGAGUCUAGUAGAGGGGGGUAGAAUUCCAGGUGUAGCGGUGAAAUGCGUAGAGAUCUGGAGGAAUACCGGUGGCGAAGGCGGCCCCCUGGACGAAGACUGACGCUCAGGUGCGAAAGCGUGGGGAGCAAACA